UCGCCGAACGGCUGGCGCGGGUCGCGGCCCGGCGGGCUCCGGUCCUGCUGGGGACCGGGCACCCGGACCGGCUGCUCGGGUUCUACGCCGGUCUGGCAGAC
rnacentral:tRNA from 1 species